AAAAUGUAUGGCGGAUAACGUUUACAAACAAGGAUUUUCGAAUAUUUAAGACAUUUGGCGACGUUUUACUUAUCUCAAAUAUCUGUCAUGGAUAAAUAAAGUUAUUUAAAUCAAUUUGACAUCAAAAUUAUUUCGAUACCUGUAAAAUAUCGGCGUUUGUGUUCAUUUGAAGAUGGCUCGUUCAAGAAUCGAAUUUGCCUAAUAGUUGUCAAGACAGGAUAAUUCACAGCUCGCUUUCCAAGUUUAAAGGCAGUUAUGAUCUAGAAUAUGUUUCAAUGCGUAAAAAUUGUGAUAGUAUUAUCACUACACCUUGCUAGAGCAUUUGGAUAAGGUAUUCAUCAGUACGUAUGGUUGUUAUUGUCAUAACAUGCAGGGGCGGAUCUAGGUGACUUCAAGCCAAAAGACUUGGAGUUUUUGGAUGAGUUUAUAGAAGAUUUCAAUGGUAUUCUAGAGAGGGGAGUCCAAGGUUCUGACUGUUACAGUAAGGGGCAUUGUUUGUGAUCCUCUCCUGCAAGAGCACUUGUUAAAGGUACAAAACUUUGUACUGGUUAUUUUGGUUGGGACAAGUGUACACAAAAAGGGAAGUGGCUUGGUCGAGUGACUUACUCUUAAAAUAAUAAUAUGGAAUUGCGCACUAAUAUUUCCUUUAGAAAGCAGAUACAAAAGGAACAUCAUCGCUUUGUAAGCCCUUACUGUCACUUGCCUGUUGAUAUGGUAAAACAAUUUCCAAUUGACUACAUGCAUCAACUGUGUCUGGGUGUUAUGCGUAAAUUGAUUAUGGCUUGGAUGAAAAGAAAUCGCGCUGCUAAAAUGUCUGUUGCCCAUUUAGAGGCGAUUUACCGGUGUACAGCGAGCUGAUCUCCCUUGCAGAAAAAGAUUUAUAUUACGGUGAACUAGCACCAGAAAUCCAAAACACAAAGGAUCAUGCAAUAACUUCCCCAUCUACUAGUAGGACACCAUCUCAACGUAGUGUACCUUAAUUUAAAUGACGUUCUUGCGUUCAAUAAAGAUAUAUGUUAAACCCAGUACGUGUCUUCUCUGUAGAUACAAGCAACGUCUCUUCACAAGGAAUUCCUACAACUGACA